rnacentral:lncRNA from 1 species
AGUUAAGGAGGCGCUGUCCUGGCGUCGGAUGGGGACGGGGAACGCGGCGAGGGCGCUGCGACCUCUGCCCACCUGGCCCGGCCGCAGUCUCGGAGUUCCUGUUCCUCACAGGAGCUAAUUAUUUAUGACAGCUGCAUGGUUCCCCUCCCCCAGUUACUCAGUGCUUGGCACUCGGCACCCCUUACUCAGCACUCAGUACCGCACUCGGCCUCAGGGGACCUGGGCAGAGGGAAGCAGGGAGUCUCCCGCGGAAACUCUUGCUCUGCCAAAAAAAGCUCUUGAGCAUGUACACCAAGAGAUGUGAAUGAGAAUCCCCACAGCUGUGCCACUUGAACUAGCAGAAGUCUACAAAUAGCCCAGCUGUCUAUCCACGGUGGAAUGGGUAAAUAAACUGAUAUGUUCGUGGGACAGAAUGCGAUUCUGAAAAAUUAGUGAACAAUAGCUGCAAGCAGCAAUACAGAUGAAUCUCUAAAACAAAGUGUUGACCAAAAGAAAGUACCAGAAGAAGACACACAGUGACUCCAUUUAGGUAAAGUUCAAAACCACACAAAACAAUAUACUAUUGUAUUAUUCCAUUCUCACACUACUACAAAGAUACUACCCAAGACUGGGUAAUUUAUAAACAAAGGAAGUUUAAUUGACUCACAGUUCCACAUGGCUUGAGAGGCCUCAGGAAACUUACAAUCAUGGCAGAAGGGGAAGCAGGC